rnacentral:lncRNA from 1 species
GUGAAGACAGGCAGAGACUGGGGUAAUGCAGCUACAAGGGAAUGUCAGAGAUUGCUAGCAAACACCAGAAGCUGGAAGAGGCAAUUAAGGAUUGCUCCCUAGAGCUUUUAGAGGGAGGACGGCUCUGCCACCUGCCUUGUUCUUGGACUCCUAGCCUCCAGAAUUAGGUCACCUGUUGGGCAAUAUCACCAUAGACUGAAUACAGAAGCAGAUAUUAGCCUCCAGCCUCCUGCUCAUCUGGACACUAGAGAGAGUGGAUAUUCUAAAAGCAGAAAUCUUGACACUUAAGCCAAAAAGCCCUCCCAUUCAGAAGGAUGUAUGGAUUUUUCAUACUUGCAUCUGCGGGACGCAGAUGGUCCGAGUCACAAGUAAAGAAUGUCUGGUGGUCUUGGGCAGAGAGAUUCAUGUCAUAAGGAAUCACUAACACCUUGACUCCAGAUCAUGGCUUGAAACACACUGGAAUGGGAUUUUGCAUAAAAGAAGAAAGCUCAGGAAUGAUAAAUUUACACACCAUGGAUCUAGAAGGGAGUCUAUAACCCCAGAAUCACCAUUAUUUUGGGUGAUCCAUAUGGCUAUCAAUUAAAGUGCUACCUGAGUGCUGUUCAACUUCUUGAGAUGGAUGAAAAAGGAAUGAAAGGAGACAUAGCAAUCUUCAACUCCGCUCCUUUACUUUUGAAUAAGAGGUGAUGGAAGGCAAGGUCAGAGAGAUCUGGGUUCAAAUCUCAUGAUUUAACUGCUAUAUAACCUUGGCCAAAUUAUUUAAACUUUGUGUCUGUUUUUACUUAGCAAUAUAAAGACACUGGUCAUACCCACCACUCAGAAUUUCAAUCAGAACUAAAUGAAAUAAUAUAUGCAAAGUGCUUAAUAUAGUACACCUGGCAUGGAGUGGUAACUCAAUAAAUAGAUCUUUUGUUAUAA